UCUCUCUAUAAAGCAAAGCUAAUCAGUGGGUUUUAGCUAGGGUUUUCAAAAGGGUUUGGAGUUGUGUUGAGGGGAAUGUUGGCUGGCUCGAGGCUUUUCAAAGAAAAAGCCCCCCAGGAAAGGGUUCUGAAAGCCAUGAUCUGAUCAUGAAAAGGCUUCGGACCAGGCUUCAUUCCCCUCAAACAUCAUAUACAUACGUACGUAUAGGUAUAUAUAUCACGAGGCUUCGCCAUUAUACAUUAUUUUCUUUGAAGGUUAGGUCGAGAGGAAUGUUGUCUGGCUCGAGGUCAUGGAAGGUGAUUUAUUUUUUUGAAGGAAUUAAUAUUUUCAACCUUAGAUGAUUCUCGGACCAGGCUUCAUUCCUCCCUACCAUCACUCUUCUAUGCUCUCCAUCUUCUCCGGUUCUUCUGUGUCAAGUCAAGCAUUUGAUGUUUAAGGGCAUUGCAUGAAAAACCCUGUUCUUUUCUUUCGGAGCUUUUGAUGACAAGAAAAUAAAGAAAGAAAGGAGAUAACUCUGGGUUCA